rnacentral:rRNA from 1 species
GGGCGUAAAGCGUGCGUAGGUGGUUCGUUAAGUCAGAUGUGAAAGCCCUGGGCUCAACCUGGGAACUGCAUUUGAAACUGGCGGACUAGAGUUUAGUAGAGGGGAGUGGAACUUCAGGUGUAGCGGUGAAAUGCGUAGAUAUCUGAAGGAACACCAGUGGCGAAGGCGACUCCCUGGACUAGAACUGACGCUGAGGUACGAAAGCGUGGGUAGCAAACAGGAUUAGAUACCCUGGUAGUCCACGCCGUAAACGAUGUCGACUAGCCGUUGGUCCUAUUUACAGGAUUAGUGGCGCAGCUAACGCAUUAAGUCGACCGCCUGGGGAGUACGGCCGCAAGGUUAAACCUCAAAUGAAUUGACGGGGUGCCCGCACAAGCGGUGGAGCAUGUGGUUUAAUUCGAUGCAACGCGAAGAACCUUACCUACCCUUGACAUCCAGAGAAUCUGUUAGAGAUAGUAGAGUGCCUUCGGGAACUCUGAGACAGGUGCUGCAUGGCUGUCGUCAGCUCGUGUCGUGAGAUGUUGGGUUAAGUCCCGUAACGAGCGCAACCCUUAUCCUUAGUUGCCAGCGGGUAAUGCCGGGAACUCUAGGGAGACUGCCGGUGAUAAACCGGAGGAGGGUGGGGACGACGUCAAGUCAUCAUGGCCUUUAUGGGUAGGGCUACACACGUGCUACAAUGGCCGGUACAGAGGGCUGCGAACUUGCGAAAGUAAGCAAAUCCCAGAAAGCCGGUCCUAGUCCGGAUUGGAGUCUGCAACUCGACUCCAUGAAGUCGGAAUCGCUAGUAAUCG